CCUACGGGAGGCAGCAGUGAGGAAUAUUGGUCAAUGGGCGAGAGCCUGAACCAGCCAAGUCGCGUGAGGGAGUACUGCCCUAUGGGUUGUAAACCUCUUUUGUCGGGGAGCAAAAGCCGGACGUGUCCGGCUGUUAGAGUACCCGAAGAAAAAGCAUCGGCUAACUCCGUGCCAGCAGUCGGGGUAAUAAGGAGGAUGCGAGCGUUAUCAGGAUUUAGUGGGUUUAAAGGCUGCGCAGGCGGAUUUGUAAGUCAGCGGUAAAAUCGUGGGGCUCAACCCCAUCCAGCCGUUGACACUGGGGAUCUAGAGUGUGCGAGAGGUAUGCGGAAUGCGUGGUGUAGCGGUGAAAUUCAUAGAUAUCACGCAGAACCCCGAUUGCGAAGGCAGCAUACCGGUGCACAACUGACGCUCAGGCACGAAAGCGUGGGUAUCGAACAGGAUUAGAUACCCCAGUAGUC
rnacentral:rRNA from 1 species